GGACAGAGGGCUGCAAGCCGGCGACGGUAAGCCAAUCCCAGAAACCCUAUCUCAGUCCGGAUUGGAGUCUGCAACUCGACUCCAUGAAGUCGGAAUCGCUAGUAAUCGCAGAUCAGCAUUGCUGCGGUGAAUACGUUCCCGGGCCUUGUACACACCGCCCGUCACACCAUGGGAGUUUGUUGCACCAGAAGCAGGUAGCUUAACCUUCGGGAGGGCGCUUGCCACGGUGUGGCCGAUGACUGGGGUGAAGUCGUAACAAGGUAGCCGUAUCGGAAGGUGCGGCUGGAUCACCUCCUUU
rnacentral:rRNA from 1 species